UUUAUGGCUGGGCUAAUAGACCCUCAAGAACACACCCACACAUUGAUAGUUUGUAUACAUUUUCAGCAAGGGAAAAGUAAAUUAUACACAGCUAUUAGUGGAAUACAGCAAAUGGAUAUCAUUUGGACCAUUUAUCAGACCUUCAUGGAAUCACACAUUUCUGCCUAAGUCCAACAGGUGUUUAAGAUAGAAGUGCUAAUGAAUGGGAGAAAACAUUUUGUUGAAAAGAGAUACAGCGAAUUUCAUGCUUUGCACAAAAAGCUUAAGAAAUGUAUAAAAACUCCAGAAAUCCCUUCUAAACAUGUUAGGAACUGGGUCCCCAAAGUCUUGGAACAGCGACGACAAGGCUUGGAAACAUACUUACAGAAUUUUGAAUAUCUGCUUCUAAAACACACCUAAUUCACCAAGAAACUGAGGAAAUAAGACCACUGGUGCUAUUUUUCAGAGAAAGUAAACACAUACACACACAUGGAUGGAGAGAGGGACAGAGGGAUGGACGGAUGAAUGCAUUGGUAGAUGGGAAAACGCUUAGAGUGAUACGCUAUUUCG
rnacentral:sRNA from 1 species